rnacentral:rRNA from 1 species
AUUGAACGCUGGCGGAAUGCUUCACACAUGCAAGUCGAGCGGCAGCGCGGGGGCAACCCUGGCGGCGAGCGGCGAACGGGUGAGUAAUACAUCGGAACGUGUCCUUGAGUGGGGGAUAGCUCGGCGAAAGCCGGAUUAACACCGCAUAAGCUCUGAGGAGGAAAGCGGGGGACCUGGUAACGGGCCUCGCGCUGUUGGAGCGGCCGAUGUCGGAUUAGCUAGUUGGUGGGGAAACGGCCCACCAAGGCGACGAUCCGUAGCUGGUCUGAGAGGAU